rnacentral:rRNA from 1 species
AUUGAACGCUGGCGGCAUGCUUUACACAUGCAAGUCGAACGGUAACAGGGAGCUUGCUCCGCUGACGAGUGGCGAACGGGUGAGUAAUAUAUCGGAACGUACCCAGAAGUGGGGGAUAACGUAGCGAAAGUUACGCUAAUACCGCAUACGAUCUACGGAUGAAAGUAGGGGACCUUCGGGCCUUAUGCUUUUGGAGCGGCCGAUAUCUGAUUAGCUAGUUGGUGAGGUAAAGGCUCACCAAGGCGACGAUCAGUAGCUGGUCUGAGAGGACGACAAGCCACACUGGAACUGAGACACGGGCCAGACUCCUACGGGAGGCAGCAGUGGGGAAUUUUGGACAAUGGGCGCAAGCCUGAUCCAGCAAUGCCGCGUGAGUGAAGAAGGCCUUCGGGUUGUAAAGCUCUUUUGUCAGGGAAGAAACGGUAGAGGCUAAUAUCCUUUGCUAAUGACGGUACCUGAAGAAUAAGCACCGGCUAACUACGUGCCAGCAGCCGCCGUAACAC